rnacentral:rRNA from 1 species
AGAGUUGAUCCUGGCUUAGGAUGAACGCUAGCUACAGGCUUAACACAUGCAAGUCGAGGGGCAGCAUGGGAUAGCUGCUAUUCAGAUGGCGACCGGCGCACGGGUGAGUAACGCGUAUCCAACCUCCUGCCAGUAGGGAACAGCCCGGCGAAAGUCGGAUUAAUGCCCUAUGUUCUUCAAUGCGGACAUCUAAGUUGAAGGAAAGAUUCAUCGCUGGCAGAUGGGGAUGCGUCCGAUUAGCUUGCCGGCGGGGUAACGGCCCACCGGGGCGACGAUCGGUAGGGGUUCUGAGAGGAAGGUCCCCCACACUGGUACUGAGACACGGACCAGACUCCUACGGGAGGCAGCAGUGAGGAAUAUUGGUCAAUGGGCGUAAGCCUGAACCAGUCAAGUAGCGUGCAGGAAGACGGCCCUAUGGGUUGUAAACUGCUUUUAUAUGGGGAUAAAGUCACCUACGUGUAGGUGUUUGUAGGUACCAUAUGAAUAAGGACCGGCUAAUUCCGUGCCAGCCGCUGC